UGGGGAAUAUUGCACAAUGGGCGCAAGCCUGAUGCAGCCAUGCCGCGUGUGUGAAGAAGGCCUUCGGGUUGUAAAGCACUUUCAGCGAGGAGGAAGGGUAGUGUGUUAAUAGCACAUUGCAUUGACGUUACUCGCAGAAGAAGCACCGGCUAACUCCGUGCCAGCAGCCGCGGUAAUACGGAGGGUGCAAGCGUUAAUCGGAAUUACUGGGCGUAAAGCGCACGCAGGCGGUUUGUUAAGUCAGAUGUGAAAUCCCCGCGCUUAACGUGGGAACUGCAUUUGAAACUGGCAAGCUAGAGUCUUGUAGAGGGGGGUAGAAUUCCAGGUGUAGCGGUGAAAUGCGUAGAGAUCUGGAGGAAUACCGGUGGCGAAGGCGGCCCCCUGGACAAAGACUGACGCUCAGGUGCGAAAGCGUGGGAGCAAACA
rnacentral:rRNA from 1 species